rnacentral:rRNA from 1 species
UGGGGAAUAUUGCACAAUGGGGGAAACCCUGAUGCAGCGACGCCGCGUGAACGAAGAAGGUAUUCGUAUCGUAAAGUUCUGUCCUAUGGGAAGAUAAUGACAGAACCAUAGAAGAAAGCUCCGGCUAAAUACGUGCCAGCAGCCGCGGUAAUACGUAUGGAGCGAGCGUCGUCCGGAAUUAUUGGGCGUAAAGGGUACGCAGGCGGUUUAAUAAGUCGAAUGUUAAAGAUCGGGGCUCAACCCCGUAAAGCAUUGGAAACUGAUAAACUUGAGUAGUGGAGAGGAAAGUGGAAUUCCUAGUGUAGUGGUGAAAUACGUAGAUAUUAGGAGGAAUACCAGUAGCGAAGGCGACUUUCUGGACACAAACUGACGCUGAGGUACGAAAGCGUGGGGAGCAAACAGG